rnacentral:misc_RNA from 1 species
CUAGAUCUGUCUCAUUUUUGGAUAGUGAUAAGUGUUUGUAGAUUCUAACAAGGAAACUUUUAGCUUCCUAGAUAAUGCGAGGUUUUUCCUUUUUUGGAUUCAAAUUGGAUUAUUUCCGGAGAAUUAUUCGGCUUUCUUCUAAUGUUUGCUAUGCUUUCAAUUGGGUUUAGAUCUCAGUAUGUUAUCCAGACUUUUUAGGUGGUGUACAAGAUUCAAUUUCUUUUCUGUUCUUUUCUUUUAUCUUCUUUUUCAGGGAUGAACUUUAACACUAAUAAAUUCUGGUGCCUGUGUCUACUGUCUAUCUUCCUUUUCAAUUUUCAUAAUUCAUGUCCUUUUACGAUAUGUUUUCUAAACAAUAUGUUAAUGGGGUUAAACAGGCUAGCCGUUUCAUUUUUAAUUACAG